AGUUUGAUCCUGGCUCAGACGAACGCUGGCGGCGUGCUUACACAUGCAAGUCGAACGAUGAUGCCCAGCUUGCUGGGUGGAUAAGUGGCGAACGGGUGAGUAACACGUGAGUAACCUGCCCCUGACUCUGGGAUAAGCGUUGGAAACGACGUCUAAUACUGGAUAUGAUCACUGGCCGCAUGGUCUGGUGGUGGAAAGAUUUUUUGGUUGGGGAUGAACUCGCGGCCUAUCAGCUUGUUGGUGAGGUAAUGGCUCACCAAGGCGACGACGGGUAGCCGGCCUGAGAGGGUGACCGGCCACACUGGGACUGAGACACGGCCCAAACUCUACGGGAGGCAGCAGUGGGGAAUAUUGCACAAUGGGCGAAAGCCUGAUGCAGCAACGCCGCGUGAGGGAUGACGGCCUUCGGGUUGUAAMCCUCUUUUAGUAGGGAAGAAGCGAGAGUGACGGUACCUGCAGAAAAAGCACCGGCUAACUACGUGCCAGCAGCCGCGGUAAUACGUAGGGUGCAAGCGUUGUCCGGAAUUAUUGGGCGUAAAGAGCUCGUAGGCGGUUUGUCGCGUCUGCUGUGAAAUCCCGAGGCUCAACCUCGGGCUUGCAGUGGGUACGGGCAGACUAGAGUGCGGUAGGGGAGAUUGGAAUUCCUGGUGUAGCGGUGGAAUGCGCAGAUAUCAGGAGGAACACCGAUGGCGAAGGCAGAUCUCUGGGCCGUAACUGACGCUGAGGAGCGAAAGCGUGGGGAGCGAACAGGAUUAGAUACCCUGGUAGUCCACGCCGUAAACGUUGGGCGCUAGAUGUAGGGACCUUUCCACGGUUUCUGUGUCGUAGCUAACGCAUUAAGCGCCCCGCCUGGGGAGUACGGCCGCAAGGCUAAAACUCAAAGGAAUUGACGGGGGCCCGCACAAGCGGCGGAGCAUGCGGAUUAAUUCGAUGCAACGCGAAGAACCUUACCAAGGCUUGACAUACACCGGAAACGGCCAGAGAUGGUCGCCCCCUUGUGGUCGGUGUACAGGUGGUGCAUGGUUGUCGUCAGCUCGUGUCGUGAGAUGUUGGGUUAAGUCCCGCAACGAGCGCAACCCUCGUUCUAUGUUGCCAGCGCGUUAUGGCGGGGACUCAUAGGAGACUGCCGGGGUCAACUCGGAGGAAGGUGGGGAUGACGUCAAAUCAUCAUGCCCCUUAUGUCUUGGGCUUCACGCAUGCUACAAUGGCCGGUACAAAGGGCUGCGAUACCGUAAGGUGGAGCGAAUCCCAAAAAGCCGGUCUCAGUUCGGAUUGAGGUCUGCAACUCGACCUCAUGAAGUCGGAGUCGCUAGUAAUCGCAGAUCAGCAACGCUGCGGUGAAUACGUUCCCGGGCCUUGUACACACCGCCCGUCAAGUCAUGAAAGUCGGUAACACCCGAAGCCGGUGGCCUAACCCUUGUGGAAGGAGCCGUCGAAGGUGGGAUCGGUGAUUAGGACUAAGUCGUAACAAGGUAGCCGUACCGGAAGGUGCGGCUGGAUCACCUC
rnacentral:rRNA from 2 species